UACGGAGGGUGCAAGCGUUGUCCGGAAUCACUGGGCGUAAAGGGCGCGUAGGCGGCUCAUGAAGGCUGUGGUGAAAGUCCGGGGCUCAACCUCGGAUCGGCCGUGGCGACUCGUGGGCUGGAGCACUGUAGAGGCGGGUGGAAUUCCGGGUGUAGCGGUGAAAUGCGUAGAUAUCAGGAGGAACACCUGUGGCGAAAGCGGCGCACUGGACCACAACUGACGCUGAGGCGCGAAAGCUAGGGGAGCAAACAGG
rnacentral:rRNA from 1 species